rnacentral:rRNA from 1 species
AGUGAACGCUGGCGGUAGGCCUAACACAUGCAAGUCGAACGGCAGCACAGUAAGAGCUUGCUCUUACGGGUGGCGAGUGGCGGACGGGUGAGGAAUACAUCGGAAUCUACUUUUUCGUGGGGGAUAACGUAGGGAGACUUACGCUAAUACCGCAUACGACCUACGGGUGAAAGCAGGGGAUCUUCGGACCUUGCGCGGUUGAAUGAGCCGAUGUCGGAUUAGCUAGUUGGCGGGGUAAAGGCCCACCAAGGCGACGAUCCGUAGCUGGUCUGAGAGGAUGAUCAGCCACACUGGAACUGAGACACGGUCCAGACUCCUACGGGAGGCAGCAGUGGGGAAUAUUGGACAAUGGGCGCAAGCCUGAUCCAGCCAUACCGCGUGGGUGAAGAAGGCCUUCGGGUUGUAAAGCCCUUUUGUUGGGAAAGAAAAGCAGCAGGUUAAUACCCCGCUGUUCUGACGGUACCCAAAGAAUAAGCACCGGCUAACUUCGUG